UCAAAAACAGUGACAUAACUUUGAAAAAGCAAGGAACUUGUAAAAGAAGGAAGGAAGGAAGGAAGGAAGGAAGGAUUAGAUCCAAAGAAGGCGACACAAAUGUCACAUUUUGGUAGGAAAAAGAAGUCUACAU